UUAAGCGACUAAGCGUACACGGUGGAUGCCCUGGCAGUCAGAGGCGAUGAAGGACGUGCUAAUCUGCGAAAAGCGCCGGCGAGGUGAUAUGAACCUUUGACCCGGCGAUGUCCGAAUGGGGAAACCCAGUGCAAUUCGUUGCACUAUCGUUAACUGAAUACAUAGGUUAACGAGGCGAACCGGGGGAACUGAAACAUCUAAGUACCCCGAGGAAAAGAAAUCAACCGAGAUUCCCCCAGUAGCGGCGAGCGAACGGGGAGCAGCCCAGAGUCUGAAUCAGCUUGUGUGUUAGUGGAAGCGUCUGGAAAGUCGCACGGUACAGGGUGACAGUCCCGUACACGAAAGCACACAGGUUGUGAACUCGAAGAGUAGGGCGGGACACGUGGUAUCCUGUCUGAAUAUGGGGGGACCAUCCUCCAAGGCUAAAUACUCCUGACUGACCGAUAGUGAACCAGUACCGUGAGGGAAAGGCGAAAAGAACCCCGGCGAGGGGAGUGAAAAAGAACCUGAAACCGUGUACGUACAAGCAGUGGGAGCACCUUCGUGGUGUGACUGCGUACCUUUUGUAUAAUGGGUCAGCGACUUAUAUUCUGUAGCAAGGUUAACCGUAUAGGGGAGCCGAAGGGAAACCGAGUCUUAACUGGGCGUUAAGUUGCAGGGUAUAGACCCGAAACCCGGUGAUCUAGCCAUGGGCAGGUUGAAGGUUGGGUAACACUAACUGGAGGACCGAACCGACUAAUGUUGAAAAAUUAGCGGAUGACUUGUGGCUGGGGGUGAAAGGCCAAUCAAACCGGGAGAUAGCUGGUUCUCCCCGAAAGCUAUUUAGGUAGCGCCUCGUGAACUCAUCUUCGGGGGUAGAGCACUGUUUCGGCUAGGGGGCCAUCCCGGCUUACCAACCCGAUGCAAACUACGAAUACCGAAGAAUGUUAUCACGGGAGACACACGGCGGGUGCUAACGUCCGUCGUGAAGAGGGAAACAACCCAGACCGCCAGCUAAGGUCCCAAAGUCAUGGUUAAGUGGGAAACGAUGUGGGAAGGCACAGACAGCCAGGAUGUUGGCUUAGAAGCAGCCAUCAUUUAAAGAAAGCGUAAUAGCUCACUGGUCGAGUCGGCCUGCGCGGAAGAUGUAACGGGGCUAAACCAUGCACCGAAGCUGCGGCAGCGACGCUUAGGCGUUGUUGGGUAGGGGAGCGUUCUGUAAGCCGUUGAAGGUGUGCUGUGAGGCAUGCUGGAGGUAUCAGAAGUGCGAAUGCUGACAUAAGUAACGAUAAAGCGGGUGAAAAGCCCGCUCGCCGGAAGACCAAGGGUUCCUGUCCAACGUUAAUCGGGGCAGGGUGAGUCGACCCCUAAGGCGAGGCCGAAAGGCGUAGUCGAUGGGAAACAGGUUAAUAUUCCUGUACUUGGUGUUACUGCGAAGGGGGGACGGAGAAGGCUAUGUUAGCCGGGCGACGGUUGUCCCGGUUUAAGCAUGUAGGCGGAGGUUCCAGGUAAAUCCGGUACCUUUUAACGCUGAGGUGUGAUGACGAGGCACUACGGUGCUGAAGUAACAAAUGCCCUGCUUCCAGGAAAAGCCUCUAAGCAUCAGGUAACACGAAAUCGUACCCCAAACCGACACAGGUGGUCAGGUAGAGAAUACCAAGGCGCUUGAGAGAACUCGGGUGAAGGAACUAGGCAAAAUGGUGCCGUAACUUCGGGAGAAGGCACGCUGAUAUGUAGGUGAAGCCCCUGCGGGUGGAGCUGAAAUCAGUCGAAGAUACCAGCUGGCUGCAACUGUUUAUUAAAAACACAGCACUGUGCAAACACGAAAGUGGACGUAUACGGUGUGACGCCUGCCCGGUGCCGGAAGGUUAAUUGAUGGGGUUAGCGGUAACGCGAAGCUCUUGAUCGAAGCCCCGGUAAACGGCGGCCGUAACUAUAACGGUCCUAAGGUAGCGAAAUUCCUUGUCGGGUAAGUUCCGACCUGCACGAAUGGCGUAAUGAUGGCCAGGCUGUCUCCACCCGAGACUCAGUGAAAUUGAACUCGCUGUGAAGAUGCAGUGUACCCGCGGCAAGACGGAAAGACCCCGUGAACCUUUACUAUAGCUUGACACUGAACACUGGUCCUUGAUGUGUAGGAUAGGUGGGAGGCUUUGAAGCGUGGACGCCAGUCUGCGUGGAGCCGACCUUGAAAUACCACCCUUUAAUGGCUGGUGUUCUAACGUAGACCCGUAAUCCGGGUUGCGGACAGUGUCUGGUGGGUAGUUUGACUGGGGCGGUCUCCUCCCAAAGAGUAACGGAGGAGCACGAAGGUUAGCUAAUCCUGGUCGGACAUCAGGAGGUUAGUGCAAUGGCAUAAGCUAGCUUGACUGCGAGAGUGACGGCUCGAGCAGGUGCGAAAGCAGGUCAUAGUGAUCCGGUGGUUCUGAAUGGAAGGGCCAUCGCUCAACGGAUAAAAGGUACUCCGGGGAUAACAGGCUGAUACCGCCCAAGAGUUCAUAUCGACGGCGGUGUUUGGCACCUCGAUGUCGGCUCAUCACAUCCUGGGGCUGAAGUAGGUCCCAAGGGUAUGGCUGUUCGCCAUUUAAAGUGGUACGCGAGCUGGGUUUAGAACGUCGUGAGACAGUUCGGUCCCUAUCUGCCGUGGGCGCUGGAGAAUUGAGGGGGGCUGCUCCUAGUACGAGAGGACCGGAGUGGACGCAUCACUGGUGUUCGGGUUGUCAUGCCAAUGGCACUGCCCGGUAGCUAAAUGCGGAAAAGAUAAGUGCUGAAAGCAUCUAAGCACGAAACUUGCCCCGAGAUGAGUUCUCCCUGACCCUUUAAGGGUCCUGAAGGAACGUUGAAGACUACGACGUUGAUAGGUCGGGUGUGUAAGCGCAGCGAUGCGUUGAGCUAACCGAUACUAAUGAACCGUGAGGCUUAACCU
rnacentral:rRNA from 1 species